CCAUUGCUAUCACCCCUUAUCCCCUCUCUCUAGUCACGUUCUCUCCCCUCCCCUUCCUCUGACACACCCACCCACCUCCCUCGACUUCGAUCUAGAUCUAGAUCGGGAAGCCCCGGCCGCCCGCCUCUUCCUCUCCCUCCCGACCACGGCGAGCCACCUUCCACGACGAGCAAUCCGAGGAGCUCCGCCUCCCUCUUCUUCUCCCCCACCCCCACUGGCGACGGAGGCGAGGUGAAAAUUCCCCACCAACCGGAGCGCUUGCCUGCCGAUGGAGGUCUCAGCCAGGCUCCGCCCGCCGUCUCCCGCCUCGACGGCGCUGCCCCGCCACGGCGGAGGGUCCCUGCGGCGGCUGCUCCCUUCGGCCCGGCCCGCCUCCCGAGCGGUCUCCGCCAAGAUGCUUCCCUCCUCCCCUAUCUUGUGGGUUGCGGGGCGCAGGGGGGGAUUAAUCGGUUGGAUCGAGCUCGAAAUGCGGCGGCGGCGCGGCGGGCGGGGAUCGGGCGGCGAUUUGGUCAGAGUUUGACUUUUUCCCUCCCCAGCCGCCGCCGCCGUGGACUCGAGCCGCGCUGCCUACUUUUUUCUCGCGCGUGUGGAAUUCGCCUGAUUUGGACUGGUGGAUCACCUACCCCGGCGCGUCCGGCCAGCUCGGGAACGUAUAGGCGCCUUCCGAGAGCUGCUCCCGUAGGCUCUGCUGGAUCGGCGGCGUGCUCGUUUUGCUUUCCUCUUGCCAUAUCUGAAUCACGCGUGCGCGCGCGCGCAUUGAUCGGAAUUCGGGCUGCACUGCUAGAGCGGCCGUCAGGUGACCGGGGCGGUGCGGUGCUGGCCUUAGGACCCCGAUUCUUCUAGAUCGCCGUUCAGCCUGCUUGAUUUUUACUACUACUACUUAAUCAUGAUCUCUUGCAUCAGCGCUGUGCUUACCUUGUGUGUUGUAAAUGCAGAGAGGUAGCUGGGAUGGAAUUUUGGCGAUUUGGUGCAUUCUGUUGAGCUUCUGCUCCCUAAUUUUUCCACUGAUUUCUUAGUGGAAUGGAAGGUGAAGAAGGACAACGAGUUCAUCUGCGGCAGCUAUCGCUGUGAGCAGUCCAUCCGCGACGCACUCCGCAGCGUCUUCGCCGGGCACAACGAGAUCCUCAAUGUCUGGAAGGAUAAAGUGAAGAAAAAGAAGAAAAGAUUACUAGAAGAUUAGUUUUAGGAUUUUCUUUUAUUUCCUUGCAAUUUUCCUUUUAUUGGAUACUUGUAAAGAC